CGCGUAGGUGGUUCGUUAAGUUGGAUGUGAAAGCCCCGGGCUCAACCUGGGAACUGCAUCCAAAACUGGCGAGCUAGAGUAUGGUAGAGGGGGGUAGAAUUCCAGGUGUAGCGGUGAAAUGCGUAGAGAUCUGGAGGAAUACCGAUUGCGAAGGCAGCCCCCUGGACAGUGACUGACGCUCAUAUGCGAAAGCGUGGGGAUCAAACAGGAUUAGAUACCCCUGUA
rnacentral:rRNA from 1 species